rnacentral:rRNA from 1 species
UACGUAGGGUGCAAGCGUUGUCCGGAAUUAUUGGGCGUAAAGAGCUCGUAGGCGGUCUGUCGCGUCUGCUGUGAAAACUCAGGGCUUAACCCUGAGCUUGCAGUGGGUACGGGCAGACUAGAGUGCGGUAGGGGAGACUGGAAUUCCGUGGUGUAGCGGUGAAAUGCGCAGAUAGUCAGGAGGAACACCGGUGGCCGAAGGCGGGUCUC